rnacentral:rRNA from 1 species
CCCAUAGCACAUUAAUCAAGCCACCACAGAAACAGGCAGCACACACAACCACAACAAGCCACACCACAAUUCACGAAAAUUAUUCGGGAAUGGACAGAAAGACAAUGGCAAAACAGUGAAUAACACAUGAGCAACCCUACCCAUAACUGCGAUACACGUGGAAAUCACGAUUAAUACCAGCAAGCAGCCACAGAACCCCUCCAUAGGGGUCAAAAGCUUCAUCAAUUCAGAAGGGCUCCAGUAUGAUCACAUACUUGGAAGGGUAAAGGCCAACCAAGGAGACGAUCAAUAGCGGUAUGAGAGGAUGAACGCACCACAUUGGAUUGAGACACGGUCCAAACUAUUCCGGGGGGCAGCAGUGGGGAAUAUUGAACAAUCGGGGGAACCCUGAUGCAGCGACGCCGCGUGAGCGAAGAAGGUUUUCGAAUCGUAAAGCUCUGUCCUAUGAGAAGAUAAUGACGGUAUCAUAGGAGGAAGCCCCGGCUAAAUACGUGCCAGCAGCCGCGGUAAUACGUAUGGGGCGAGCGUUGUCCGGAAUUAUUGGGCGUAAAGGGUACGUAGGCGGUUUUUUAAGUCAGGUGUGAAAGCGUGAGGCUUAACCUCAUUAAGCACUUGAAACUGGAAGACUUGAGUGAAGGAGAGGAAAGUGGAAUUCCUUGUGUAGCGGUGAAAUGCGUAGAUAUUAGGAGGAAUACCGGUGGCGAAGGCGACUUUCUGGACUUUUACUGACGCUCAGGUACGAAAGCGUGGGGAGCAAACAGG